AGGACGAACGCUGGCGGCGUGCUUAACACAUGCAAGUCGAGCGGAAAGGCCCUUCGGGGUACUCGAGCGGCGAACGGGUGAGUAACACGUGAGUAACCUGCCCUGGACUUUGGGAUAACCCUCGGAAACGGGGGCUAAUACCGGAUACGACACUCCACCGCAUGGUGUGUUUGUGGAAAGUUUUUCGGUCUGGGAUGGGCUCGCGGCCUAUCAGCUUGUUGGUGGGGUAAUGGCCUACCAAGGCGACGACGGGUA
rnacentral:rRNA from 1 species